rnacentral:miRNA from 2 species
UAUUAUGCUAAGAUAAACGUGA